ensembl:lncRNA
GUCCAGUAGGUCGCGGUAUAUGGGGAAAAACUAUGAUCCGCCACUAAACUAGAAGAAGAAGAAGAUCUCUGCAUCCGGUACGUCACGGAAUAGGUCACGUGUCUUGGCCACAUAACGCGGAAGCAAAUCGCUCCUGUAUGUAGCCAUGCGCCACUGAGCAGGUUUGCAUAGGAAUGAAUGGGCGGCCAUUUUCCAGUCCGUGGUCCAUCCUUUAUUAUGUCCAUGCUCCAGACAUGCCAUACAGCAGGUCACGUAUCUGUUCUAAAAAGGUCUUAAAAAAAUACGAUGACGUCACACAUUCCAGCUGUUGGAGUUGGACAUUGAUGCUGUGACAACGGAGAAGUCUUCUUCCUCUGUCCUUUUUCCCUGCCUCUGUUCUGUAUGUUUAGUGUUGUUAAAUAAUUUAUCUUUUUUUUUAUUAUUUACUUUUAGUUACUGUUCUUAUUGUGUUCUUGUUAUUGUGAUGUUUGAAUAAACUUGCCUGUUGCAA